rnacentral:rRNA from 2 species
UGGGUGACGAGCGGCGGACGGGUGAGUAAUGUCUGGGAAACUGCCUGAUGGAGGGGGAUAACUACUGGAAACGGUAGCUAAUACCGCAUAACCUCGCAAGAGCAAAGAGGGGGACCUUCGGGCCUCUCGCCAUCAGAUGUGCCCAGAUGGGAUUAGCUAGUAGGUGAGGUAAUGGCUCACCUAGGCGACGAUCCCUAGCUGGUCUGAGAGGAUGACCAGCCACACUGGAACUGAGACACGGUCCAGACUCCUACGGGAGGCAGCAGUGGGGAAUAUUGCACAAUGGGCGCAAGCCUGAUGCAGCCAUGCCGCGUGUGUGAAGAAGGCCUUCGGGUUGUAAAGCACUUUCAGCGGGGAGGAAGGCGGUAAGGUUAAUAACCUUAUCGAUUGACGUUACCCGCAGAAGAAGCACCGGCUAACUCCGUGCCAGCAGCCGCGGUAAUACGGAGGGUGCAAGCGUUAAUCGGAAUGACUGGGCGUAAAGCGCACGCAGGCGGUCUGUUAAGUUGGAUGUGAAAUCCCCGGGCUUAACCUGGGAACUGCAUUCAAAACUGACAGGCUAGAGUCUUGUAGAGGGGGGUAGAAUUCCAGGUGUAGCGGUGAAAUGCGUAGAGAUCUGGAGGAAUACCGGUGGCGAAGGCGGCCCCCUGGACAAAGACUGACGCUCAGGUGCGAAAGCGUGGGGAGCAAACAGGAUUAGAUACCCUGGUAGUCCACGCUGUAAACGAUGUCGAUUUGGAGGUUGUGCCCUUGAGGCGUGGCUUCCGGAGCUAACGCGUUAAAUCGACCGCCUGGGGAGUACGGCCGCAAGGUUAAAACUCAAAUGAAUUGACGGGGGCCCGCACAAGCGGUGGAGCAUGUGGUUUAAUUCGAUGCAACGCGAAGAACCUUACCUACUCUUGACAUCCAGAGAACUUAGCAGAGAUGCUUUGGUGCCUUCGGGAACUCUGAGACAGGUGCUGCAUGGCUGUCGUCAGCUCGUGUUGUGAAAUGUUGGGUUAAGUCCCGCAACGAGCGCAACCCUUAUCCUUUGUUGCCAGCGAUUCGGUCGGGAACUCAAAGGAGACUGCCGGUGAUAAACCGGAGGAAGGUGGGGAUGACGUCAAGUCAUCAUGGCCCUUACGAGUAGGGCUACACACGUGCUACAAUGGCGUAUACAAAGAGAAGCGACCUCGCGAGAGCAAGCGGACCUCAUAAAGUACGUCGUAGUCCGGAUUGGAGUCUGCAACUCGACUCCAUGAAGUCGGAAUCGCUAGUAAUCGUAGAUCAGAAUGCUACGGUGAAUACGUUCCCGGGCCUUGUACACACCGCCCGUCACACCAUGGGAGUGGGUUGCAAAAGAAGUAGGUAGCUUAACCUUCGGGAGGGCGCUUACCACUUUGUGAUUCAUGACUGGGGUGAAGUCGUAACAAGGUAACCGUAGGGGAACCUGCGGUUGGAUCACCUCCUUA